UUAAGCGACUAAGCGUACACGGUGGAUGCCCUGGCAGUCAGAGGCGAUGAAGGACGUGCUAAUCUGCGAAAAGCGUCGGUAAGGUGAUAUGAACCGUUAUAACCGGCGAUGUCCGAAUGGGGAAACCCAGUGUGUUUCGACACACUAUCAUUAACUGAAUCCAUAGGUUAAUGAGGCGAACCGGGGGAACUGAAACAUCUAAGUACCCCGAGGAAAAGAAAUCAACCGAGAUUCCCCCAGUAGCGGCGAGCGAACGGGGAGGAGCCCAGAGCCUGAAUCAGUGUGUGUGUUAGUGGAAGCGUCUGGAAAGGCGCGCGAUACAGGGUGACAGCCCCGUACACAAAAAUGCACAUGCUGUGAGCUCGAUGAGUAGGGCGGGACACGUGGUAUCCUGUCUGAAUAUGGGGGGACCAUCCUCCAAGGCUAAAUACUCCUGACUGACCGAUAGUGAACCAGUACCGUGAGGGAAAGGCGAAAAGAACCCCGGCGAGGGGAGUGAAAAAGAACCUGAAACCGUGUACGUACAAGCAGUGGGAGCCCUGAUUUAUCAGGGUGACUGCGUACCUUUUGUAUAAUGGGUCAGCGACUUAUAUUCUGUAGCAAGGUUAACCGAAUAGGGGAGCCGGAGGGAAACCGAGUCUUAACUGGGCGUUAAGUUGCAGGGUAUAGACCCGAAACCCGGUGAUCUAGCCAUGGGCAGGUUGAAGGUUGGGUAACACUAACUGGAGGACCGAACCGACUAAUGUUGAAAAAUUAGCGGAUGACUUGUGGCUGGGGGUGAAAGGCCAAUCAAACCGGGAGAUAGCUGGUUCUCCCCGAAAGCUAUUUAGGUAGCGCCUCGUGAAUUCAUCUCCGGGGGUAGAGCACUGUUUCGGCAAGGGGGUCAUCCCGACUUACCAACCCGAUGCAAACUGCGAAUACCGGAGAAUGUUAUCACGGGAGACACACGGCGGGUGCUAACGUCCGUCGUGAAGAGGGAAACAACCCAGACCGCCAGCUAAGGUCCCAAAGUCAUGGUUAAGUGGGAAACGAUGUGGGAAGGCCCAGACAGCCAGGAUGUUGGCUUAGAAGCAGCCAUCAUUUAAAGAAAGCGUAAUAGCUCACUGGUCGAGUCGGCCUGCGCGGAAGAUGUAACGGGGCUAAACCAUGCACCGAAGCUGCGGCAGCGACACUGUGUGUUGUUGGGUAGGGGAGCGUUCUGUAAGCCUGUGAAGGUGUGCUGUGAGGCAUGCUGGAGGUAUCAGAAGUGCGAAUGCUGACAUAAGUAACGAUAAAGCGGGUGAAAAGCCCGCUCGCCGGAAGACCAAGGGUUCCUGUCCAACGUUAAUCGGGGCAGGGUGAGUCGACCCCUAAGGCGAGGCCGAAAGGCGUAGUCGAUGGGAAACAGGUUAAUAUUCCUGUACUUGGUGUUACUGCGAAGGGGGGACGGAGAAGGCUAUGUUGGCCGGGCGACGGUUGUCCCGGUUUAAGCGUGUAGGCUGGUUUUCCAGGCAAAUCCGGAGAAUCAAGGCUGAGGCGUGAUGACGAGGCACUACGGUGCUGAAGCAACAAAUGCCCUGCUUCCAGGAAAAGCCUCUAAGCAUCAGGUAACAUCAAAUCGUACCCCAAACCGACACAGGUGGUCAGGUAGAGAAUACCAAGGCGCUUGAGAGAACUCGGGUGAAGGAACUAGGCAAAAUGGUGCCGUAACUUCGGGAGAAGGCACGCUGAUAUGUAGGUGAAGCGACUUGCUCGUGGAGCUGAAAUCAGUCGAAGAUACCAGCUGGCUGCAACUGUUUAUUAAAAACACAGCACUGUGCAAACACGAAAGUGGACGUAUACGGUGUGACGCCUGCCCGGUGCCGGAAGGUUAAUUGAUGGGGUCAGCGCAAGCGAAGCUCUUGAUCGAAGCCCCGGUAAACGGCGGCCGUAACUAUAACGGUCCUAAGGUAGCGAAAUUCCUUGUCGGGUAAGUUCCGACCUGCACGAAUGGCGUAAUGAUGGCCAGGCUGUCUCCACCCGAGACUCAGUGAAAUUGAACUCGCUGUGAAGAUGCAGUGUACCCGCGGCAAGACGGAAAGACCCCGUGAACCUUUACUAUAGCUUGACACUGAACACUGGUCCUUGAUGUGUAGGAUAGGUGGGAGGCUUUGAAGUGUGGACGCCAGUCUGCAUGGAGCCGUCCUUGAAAUACCACCCUUUAAUGGCUGGUGUUCUAACGUGGGCCCGUAAUCCGGGUUGCGGACAGUGUCUGGUGGGUAGUUUGACUGGGGCGGUCUCCUCCUAAAGAGUAACGGAGGAGCACGAAGGUUGGCUAAUCCUGGUCGGACAUCAGGAGGUUAGUGCAAUGGCAUAAGCCAGCUUGACUGCGAGCGUGACGGCGCGAGCAGGUGCGAAAGCAGGUCAUAGUGAUCCGGUGGUUCUGAAUGGAAGGGCCAUCGCUCAACGGAUAAAAGGUACUCCGGGGAUAACAGGCUGAUACCGCCCAAGAGUUCAUAUCGACGGCGGUGUUUGGCACCUCGAUGUCGGCUCAUCACAUCCUGGGGCUGAAGUAGGUCCCAAGGGUAUGGCUGUUCGCCAUUUAAAGUGGUACGCGAGCUGGGUUUAGAACGUCGUGAGACAGUUCGGUCCCUAUCUGCCGUGGGCGCUGGAGAACUGAGGGGGGCUGCUCCUAGUACGAGAGGACCGGAGUGGACGCAUCACUGGUGUUCGGGUUGUCAUGCCAAUGGCACUGCCCGGUAGCUAAAUGCGGAAGAGAUAAGUGCUGAAAGCAUCUAAGCACGAAACUUGCCCCGAGAUGAGUUCUCCCUGAGACUUAGAGUCUCCUGAAGGAACGUUGAAGACGACGACGUUGAUAGGCCGGGUGUGUAAGCGCAGCGAUGCGUUGAGCUAACCGGUACUAAUGAACCGUGAGGCUUAACCUU
rnacentral:rRNA from 1 species